GUAGGUGGCAAGCGUUGUCCGGAAUUAUUGGGCGUAAAGCGCGCGCAGGCGGUUCUUUAAGUCUGAUGUGAAAGCCCACGGCUCAACCGUGGAGGGUCAUUGGAAACUGGAGGACUUGAGUACAGAAGAGGAAAGCGGAAUUCCACGUGUAGCGGUGAAAUGCGUAGAGAUGUGGAGGAACACCAGUGGCGAAGGCGGCUUUCUGGUCUGUAACUGACGCUGAGGCGCGAAAGCGUGGGGGAGCAAACAGGAUUAGAUACCCUGGUAGUCCACGCCGUAAACGAUGAGUGCUAAGUGUUAGGGGGUUUUCCGCCCCGUUAGUGCUGCAGCUAACGCAUUAAGCACUCCGCCUGGGAGUACGGCCGCAAGGCUG
rnacentral:rRNA from 1 species